GGAGACGGGAGUUAACUCUGAAUAUUAUUAUUCGCACAAAAUUACAGAAAAUGUUUAGAGAAGCCAAGGGGGGGGGAGCUUCUUUAUUUUAUUGCAUUGAUUGAUAUUUAUUUCCCCGAGUCAAUCUGAAUCUGACUAGACUUUAAAACAUAGAAAGUACUACCAAUAUCAAACAUUAAAAAUGUUUUUUUUUUUUUCCUCAGUGUCAGUAGGUAUGGAUCGAAAACGAAUGCGUUACCCUCCCGUAAUCCCCCGUUUCAAACCCCGUUCCUAUCACAGCAGUUUACCUCAGUAUUAUAUG